GUCCCUGUAGCGCAAUGGAUAGCACGUUGGACGUUUAAUCCAAAGGUCGUGAGUUGAAAUCCCACCUGGGAUA